GGCCGCCCCAUGAGGGGUCUCUCUCUCCAUGUAGAAUAAAAGCUUUUAUAAGGUUACUGAUAUGACUGAGGUCUUCAUCUCAUAUGGCAGUCCCAUUCAGUAUCCCAAAGAAGAAGCAGCCAUCAGAUUAAUGCAUUCUUGAUAUGCAAUCUCCUUUGUCUUGACUACAGGACAACAGCUCACAGAAGACACAAGGGGGUUCUUUAACUCUUAACGGAAGAACGGCUCAUAAAUCCAGUUCGAGCAAUGGAAAUAUGCUGUCAGAACACAGUCAAAGGGGUGAAACUAUAAGACCCAUCAGACCUCCAGAUUCAUCCCAAUAUCGCAGUGGUGACAGACAGGAUCUUUCACCUGACUCUUGCACGCCAAGCCGUUUCACGCACCUGCUCAGACAACACUCUGAGAGGAGCCAUAUGUGAAAUAAAUAAGCUUUAAACUGAACAAAAAGGCAAUAAAAAUCAGCCCUGUUAGGAUGUGGAAACUCCCACCAUAGGGAAAGUAUUCACUGGAUAUAACAGGUGGAGGCCCAAAAGAGCAUCAGAUACUCUGCCAUGAUGAGAACCAAAAGGAAACUUAUGAAAGCCCAUAUAUCAAGAUCUAUAGGGGUAAAUUCAUGUAAGAUCUGUA